rnacentral:rRNA from 1 species
AUACGGAGGGUGCGAGCGUUAAGCGGAAUUACUGGGCGUAAAGGGUGCGUAGGCGGCUUGAUAAGUCGGAUGUGAAAGCCCCGGGCUUAACCUGGGAAUUGCAUUCGAUACUGUCAGGCUAGAGUAUGUCAGAGGUUGGCGGAAUACCUGGUGUAGCGGUGAAAUGCGUAGAUAUCAGGAGGAACACCAGUGGCGAGGGCGGCUAACUGGGGCAAUACUGACGCUGAGGCACGAAAGCGUGGGGAGCAAACAGGAUUAGAAACCCUAGUAGUCC